rnacentral:rRNA from 1 species
GUAAGGAAUAUUGGUCAAUGGACGAAAGUCUGAACCAGCCAUGCCGCGUGAAGGAUGAAGGCCCUCUGGGUUGUAAACUUCUUUUAUCUGGGACGAAAAAAGGGUAUUCUUACUCACUUGACGGUACCAGAGGAAUAAGCACCGGCUAACUCCGUGCCAGCAGCCGCGGUAAUACGGAGGGUGCAAGCGUUAUCCGGAUUCACUGGGUUUAAAGGGUGCGUAGGUGGGUAUUUAAGUCAGUGGUGAAAUCUCCGAGCUUAACUCGGAAACUGCCAUUGAUACUAUUUACCUUGAAUGCCCUGGAGGUAAGCGGAAUAUGUCAUGUAGCGGUGAAAUGCUUAGAUAUGACAUAGAACACCAAGUGCGAAGGCAGCUUACUACGGGGUGAUUGACACUGAGGCACGAAAGCGUGGGGAGCAAACAGGAUUAGAAACCCCUGUAGUCC